CAGCCCGUUCCCCUCCCCACCCAUGCCAUCGCCGCCGGAGCCACCCACCGCCCCGCCUCCCUCACACAGACCUCGCCGCCGGCCAUGGCCUUCCCCAACAGCCGCCGCUCCGACUCUCUCCUCCACCCCUCACCUUAUCACAAGAGAAGAGAAGAGAAGAGGGAGGGAAAUCGAUCGCGACCGAGCAGGUCAGGCGGCGACAAUGGCGCGCCCAGACCCGCCAGCGCCGUCGUCGUCGAGCUGGGCUGGGCGGCGCAGUCCGGUAGAGUAGGAAUGAGGGGGCGGUGGGACGCCUCCCCUGCUCGAGCAGCUCCAAGCGAGCGACCACAGCGCCGGAUCCACCUCCACAACCACCCACCGGCGGCCACGGAAGGUCAGGGACCUUCGUCCGGUCCGUGUGCUUCUUCUCCAUGGAGCUCCGACACCGUAGCAGCCGCAUCCAUGGAAGUGCCGACGCCAUGGACCUCGUCAAUCGUGGUUUGCUGCUGCCGCCAACCGUUUCCCUGACAAACACCAAAGCCACCAUUGUCAAAGUCGCCGUUGGCCGGCGUUGCCACUGGUCGCUGCUCCACGCAUCUUGUCGGUGCUGCGAGGCGAUGCCAUCUGCAUCUGUUGCUGCAGCCUGGGAGGUGGCAGGGUCUCCAGGUGAUGCCCUCUUUGCUGCCCAAUCGUUGAAGAUGCCAUAGGACGAGAUCCUCUGCUGCUGCUGUGUCUGGUGGUUGAAGAAGGGGUGUGCUGGGAAGAGGAGGCAGUGUUAAGAGUGCUCGAUCUGGAACAGGACGAGCUUGGGUUGCAUCGGCUCUGGUUCUCAACCUCCAACAUGAGUCCCUUUGUUCCAUGCCUCGAAUGCCACGAGUCAUCAUGGGCACUGCAGAUGCGGAGGAGUUUUUCCGGGGCGAUCUGCUUGUUCCCGGCCGCGCUGGUGUCAACUACCUCGAGCCACUAUGACCAUCCCAACCACGCUCACCCCCCUGAAUGAAUUGUUUGUGGAUCUGCAAAGGGGGAUUCAAUUAAUUUUCAGUUGUAGAAAAGGGAGAAGGGGGAUUCAAUUAAUUUUCCUCCUCAAGAUCAAAGAAACAAAAUCUUUGUGGCGAUGAUAGAAGGGGUUCACGACUUCACGUUAAUACACAGACUAUUGGUAGCUCAUGGCGAGUUAUGCGUGAGCCGUCUCGAUCCUUUUGCUAUGUUAUUAUAUUUUAGCCAUGAAGGAUUUACUGCUUGUCAGUUCGUAGUGGUUCUGGCUGUUUGUUGAACUUCUGGUCUUGCUUGUGCUAUUUUUUUUAUUGUUUAGAUGGCUCAAUUUACUUCCAAUUUUACUCUUGAGUUUUCCAAUGCAUGCAUACUCUUAUACCCCUCCUACUUGCUUGUUGGUUCUAUGCUCUGCCUUUGUGAGGUGUAAUUGUUCAAUUUUGUUCAUAUUUGAGCAUUGGAUGAUAUUGUAUUUGUCAUGAUGUACAUGGUUCAUGAACUAUGCCAACCUGCAGCUUUCUUGUACUAGUGAUAGUAGGAUAAUGCAAGUUUUGACAAUCCAUGCAUAUUUCCGCAUCAUAAUAAUCUUCUUCUUCUAGUCUUCUUCUAGUCUUCUUCUUCUAACUUUCUUCUUUCCCAUU